UAGGUAAUAGAACAUUCUUUGACCUGCUGCAAAGAAUGCGGAUCUACCCUUGAGAAUGUUGAAGUUGAAGCUUAUGAGAGAAGACAGGUCUUUGACAUUC
rfam:Methanosarcina mazei strain Goe1, complete genome.